UUGGGAGGCUGAGGCAAGUGGAUUGCUUGAGCCCAGGAGUUUGAGUUUGCUGUGCUGUGAGCUAUGAUGACGUCAGUGCACUCUACCCCGGGUGCAAGAGCGAGUCUCAAAAAGAAAAAGUGACUUAGCAUAUUUGAGAAAAAGAUGUCAGAAAAUAAAAAUAUAACUAAACAAUUAUAAAAUGUAAUAGAAGGAGUAGAAAAUGAAAUUGGGGAGUUUGCAAAAGAUAGAAUGAAAAGAUAAAGAGAUAGAAAAUAGGAGAGAAAUAAUAAAUAAAAAAUUUAAAUGGUACAUCCAAGAAGUUCAGUAUCUGGUUAAUAGGAGUUCUACAGAGAAAGAACACAGUGAAUAUAGAAAAGGAAGUUAUCAAAGAAAUAAUACAAGAAAAUUUUCAGAACUGAAAGUUAAGGCAUUCUAUUUUGAAAGGUACUUUCAAUCUAGAGCCUGUACAUUGAAUGAAAAAAAAAUUACCUAUACCUAGGUACAUUAUGAUCAAUAUCCAAAAUUCCAGAAAUAGUGAAUUAUAGAAGCUUUUAGAAAGGAAAACUUGUCAUAGACAAAUAAGUGAAAAUCAGAAUGAUAUCAGAUUUCUUUACAUCAGUACUGGAAAGUAGAAGACAGAAUAAAGUCAACAAAAUUUUGAAGGAAAAUUAUAUUCCAUGUGGAAUUUUAUACUCAGCUGUAUUUUCAAUCAAGUGUAAAGAUAGAACAAAGACAUUUUAAAAUCUGCAAGAACUCAGAAUUUUACUUCCUGUGGAUCCUUUUCAAGGAAACAACCAGAAUAAGUACUUCAGCAGAAUGAGGAUAAGUCAAAAGCAGGGAAAAACAGAACCUCGGGAAGCAGGGAACCAACACAGGAAAACAGGCAGGAGAAGCUCAGUGGUAUGUAAAAUGGGCCCAGCUACUUAGGAAUUCCCAAAUUAUAUGAUAUACUUGGUCAUCUGGAAAAUAAUACAUAUAUAUAUAUAUUAAGGUAAAAUAUUUGGAAAAAUUUGAAUAUAGGUACAAAGAAAAUUAAAUGAAAUAAAGAAGAAGUAUUAAGGGAAAAAUUAUACAUGGAAAAAUAAAACUCUGGCUUUUUGGUGAAUAGUUCUUUAUUAUCUUAAUAGUGUAAGGGAAGGAGAAAUGUGGUAGAUGAUGUAAAAGCUAAAAUAUAAAUGAUUAUGACAGUAAGUUAAUAGUGAAGGAUAAAAUAAAAGUCAAGAAAUGACAAUAUUAGCAUACUGUUUGGUUAAAAAAAAGCCAAAAGUGUUGAAAGUGUUUGCCUCAAGGUAUAGUGCCUUUUAUCUUUUUUUGCUUGAGCAAUUUGAUUUAAAUCCGUCAAUAGAAAACUGAAGCCUGCAUUGUCCAGCAAGCUUCUGCCACCACAAGCAUCCCCAGCAUGGUGGGUGACAGCACAGGGUCACAGCCACUAUCAGAUCCAGGCUCUCUGCCUCGAGGUUCCUCCCCACAGGACGCCCUCCCUGUCUAGUGGCAGGUAACUGGGCUGUCUCCUGCCAGAGUCAUACCAAGUUUCAUAUGAGGUUAUGAGGCUGAGCGCGGGGGUGUAUAUCUCAUAACAGGAAGGGAGGAAAGAGGAAGGAAGGAGAAAAAUCACCUUCAUAGAUGGAUUUAGAAAAUGGUUUGCCACUUUGUUAUUGAGACAACUCCAGGGAAAUUCCAUCCGAGAGGCACCAGCCAGCUAAAUAUGAUAUCAAAUGACAGCUCCACUUCACCUUCUGAAGCUUGACUCAAUAGUGUAUCUCUUUGCCAGCCCCAAGGGUAGAUUUAAGCAGUAGGCAUACUGGUCUCUCCCAUUCCUACCCUGUUCCAAAUUGGAGUUGGGAUAUGGUGGUACUAAGGGUUCCAGGCUGACCUAACCCAGGGAUCAGUCUAGAGAACAUAGAAUGGGCCGGAUUUCCCUCCACCUCUCCUGCUCCCUCGGAGGGUGACCGUCUCUGCAUCCAUCACCACUGCUGACUCCCAGCACCUUACCAUAAAUCUGGGGCCUAUUCCAGACAAGACAAACCCAUGUCUGGGCUCACUGAUUAUGACUGGACCACCCAGAACAUGGUGGUACUCAAGCAGCCAUUCACCUCUCUAUACCCUGCUUCUGUUGACCCGCACUGUCUGAAAGAAGUGACUGUAAAGGGAAGAGCCUUCCUACUCCUACACACAGGUGUGCAGGACACCAGGCCAGCCGCAGGCGAGGACACAGCUGUUUGUGUAGCCUGGUCAGUAUCAAAGCCCAGGCUACCGCCUUCUACUCCAGACUUGGCGUGCCAUUUUCUAGUGGAAACUGCAGUACUGAACUCUUCAUUAGGGAGGGCCUCUUGCACUUUGAAUUAGUUGUCACUUAAUCUGUUAAUGGAAGCAUUUUCCUUUGAAAAGGACAUCCUUUAUUUUUCAAUAGUUAGUCACUUUUUAAAAAUUUUGUUUGUUUUCUUAUAGAAGUAAUACGUGCUUACAACAGAUUGGAACAACACAAAAGUAUUUUAAAAGAAGAUUGUCUCCCCAUCCUAUCGAUCGAGAGAAAGGAUGGUGUAUUUGUCUGAACAACUUUGUAUAACAUAAAUAUGUAUGUCUACAUGCAGUGGCAGUCCUAAGAUGAUCUUCAGUAAAAAGAGUUGGUGUAAGAGCAAGAGCAGCAGUGAACAUGCAGGAUGAAGCAUAAGGCCCCCACUUCCUGUGCAAGGCAAGCUGAACAUUUACGACCAGUGAAGAUUAGCCAAGAGGGAGGAAAGGGAAUUGGGACAAACAUAGACUGUUCCAUUGUGCCGGUAUGUGCCACCAACCGUGGAGUGGACUUCCUGCUGCAGGACACAGCUGACCUUUGGAGAGUCACUGUCUGGGUGAGGCUGCCCUUUAGCAGGACAGAACACAGCUGUUGUUUAGAUGUCAGAGGCUGGUUAAUAACUGCGUUUGGCUGUCAGCUCAGGAUGUUAAUGGCUUCUAGGUUUAAGGAAGGCCAGAAAAACAGUAUGAAGGGAAUCUUUGUAUUACCAAGCAGGUUCUUUAGUAAUCCUUCUUUGAACAAAAAUUAACACUUCACCACAGCUUUAGAAAGUAUUAAGAGAACUCAUAAAAGUCAGAGCAGAUGUACAGGAGAUCACACUUCCAGAGUUCUCUGGGGAACUAUUUCUGGACUAACAAGUCCAACAAAUGUGUUAAUUCAGGUUGAGAUUUCUAAUGCAAAUAUUGACUCAGUCUCAACCUUUGCAGUUCAUUCUCCAACUUGAAUGUAUCCUUUCAGAAUACCUUACCUAUCUAUUUUCUUUCUUCGUGCCUAAUAAUUUGCCCACCUUUCAUUUUGAAGGUGGUUGGCAGGUGGUUUUCUUAAGGGUGAGUUCUGCAUUCUUUCUCUAGGUCUCAGUAAUGUUUAGAGGAGUAAAUAUAACUAUUCCUUCAUUUUCUUAGUGGCAUAAUUGUGGGAAAGGAGGGAGAAAAGAUAGGCAAGAUAGUUUAAGCCAAGAGAUCUUAGCAGAAUGUUAAUUAUCCUGAGUGUUAGAUCAGAUUACAUAAAAGUAAUUUCUUGCCCACUCUUCAAUAUUAAAGAAAAAACUGAUGAUAAAUUAUUUUAUUGAUGUUUUUCCCCUAGCCCACAUAAUAUUUUUAAUUACUGUUACUAAAAACAUGUGUUUUAAGGUUUGUAUGAAUUGAUAUGCAAACUGCCACAUGGCUAACUGACUAUUAGUUGGUUAAAAUAAAA